rnacentral:tRNA from 1 species
UCCUCGGUAGUAUAGUGGUGAGUAUCCGCGCCUGUCACGUGCGAGACCCGGGUUCGAUUCCCGCCCGGGGAG